rnacentral:rRNA from 1 species
AAUAGAUACCCGGGUAGUCCACGCCCUAAACUAUGUCGACUAGUUGUUGGGGGGAGUCUGUCCCUCAGUAACGUAGCUAACGCGUGAAGUCGACCGCCUGGGGAGUACGGUCGCAAGAUUAAAACUCAAAGGAAUUGACGGGGACCCGCACAAGCGGUGGAUUAUGUAGAUUAAUUCGAUGCAACGCGAAGAACCUUACCUACCCUUGACAUGCCAGGAACCUCGCAGAGAUGUGAGGGUGCCCGAAAGGGAACCUGGACACAGGUGCUGCAUGGCUGUCGUCAGCUCGUGUCGUGAGAUGUUGGGUUAAGUCCCGCAACGAGCGCAACCCUUGCCAUUAGUUGCUACAUUCAGUUGGGCACUCUAAUGGGACUGCCGGUGACAAACCGGAGGAAGGUGGGGAUGACGUCAAGUCCUCAUGGCCCUUAUGGGUAGGGCUUCACACGUAAUACAAUGGCGCAUACAGAGGGCUGCAAACCCGCGAGGGGGAGCCAAUCCCAAAAAGUGCGUCGUAGUCCGGAUUGUUCUCUGCAA